rnacentral:rRNA from 1 species
UACGGGGGGGGCAAGCGUUGUUCGGAAUUACUGGGCGUAAAGGGCUCGUAGGCGGCCAACUAAGUCGGAUGUGAAAUCCCCAGGCUUAACCUGGGAACUGCAUCCGAUACUGGAUGGCUUGAAUCCGGGAGAGGGAUGCGGAAUUCCAGGUGUAGCGGUGAAAUGCGUAGAUAUCUGGAGGAACACCGGUGGCGAAGGCGGCAUCCUGGACCGGCAUUGACGCUGAGGAGCGAACAGG